GAGGUGGUGGUGGUGGAAGGGUUUUACUAUCUCAAAGGCCCAUAUCAUCGAUCCAGCCAACAAUGUCCCACACUGAGCCAACCUGGCUUGUCAACUCUAAACACUUAACUAGGUCUAGUUCAUUUGCAGACCUAAGCUUCAAACCAAUAGCAGGCCUAGUACUAGUAGCGAUGAUCACAAUUACAGGACCAUGACAAGUUAAUCACUACCAACUGUUAA
rnacentral:misc_RNA from 1 species